rnacentral:rRNA from 1 species
UGGGGAAUAUUGGACAAUGGGCGAAAGCCUGAUCCAGCCAUGCCGCGUGAGUGACGAAGGUCUUCGGAUUGUAAAGCUCUUUUGGCGGGGAAGAUCAUGACCGUACCCGCAGAAUAAGCCCCGGCUAACUUCGUGCCAGCAGCCGCCGGCAUACGACGGGGGAUCGCGUUCUGCGGAAUUACUGGGCGUAAAGCGCACGUAGGCGGACUCUUAAGUCAGGGGCGCAAUCCCGGGGGUCAACCUCGGGAC